AGCAAGGGGUAGUUUGUGUUAAAUGUCAUUGUGUAUUAGAAACAGUUUGAGAAUAUUGUGAGGUGAUUUCUUGAAUGGGGAAUUGAGCUUCCCGGGAAAAUGUCAGAGGUUGCGACAUUAACCAAGAAGAUGGGGUGCAUAUGAGAUGUCAUUACCUGUGCCAAGAAGCGGUAGACAAACACAGCCUUCAGCUGGCCAAAACGGUACACCCUGAAGAUGCUCUGGAUGUCGUAGGAGGGGUUCCACGAAGCGUCAAAAAUUAUGACCCUGUUAGCUGCUACCAGGUUGAUCCCAAGGGACCCAGCUCUUGUUGAGAUGAGAAACAGACGACCUCUGAAAGUAAAUUGUGUCUUCCCUAGGCCCAUGCAGUGGGCCAGUAAGCAACCUGAUCCAGGGGUUGAAUUGGCCUUCUUCACUGACUCACAACAACAGUCCCAGAUAAACUGCACACCUAUCAAAAGGAAGAAGUACAGCAAAUUGAAGGGGACACUGCUGUAUUUGCCACUAUGUUAAUUAUUGUAUGUAUUGGACUUGUACAACUGAAAUAAAAAACAAGACUUACCAUCCACCUGGUGAGGCUUGAGCCUGGUCACCAGGUUCCUGUGCACCUGAA